rnacentral:rRNA from 1 species
UACGGAGGGUGCAAGCGUUAAUCGGAAUUACUGGGCGUAAAGCGUGCGUAGGCGGUUUGUUUAGUCAGAUGUGAAAGCCCCGGGCUCAACCUGGGAACUGCAUACGAUACUGUCUGGCUAGAGUAUGAGAGAGGGAGGUAGAAUUCCACGUGUAGCGGUGAAAUGCGUAGAUAUGUGGAGGAAUACCGGUGGCGAAGGCGGCCUCCUGGCUUAAUACUGACGCUGAGGUGCGAAAGCGUGGGGAGCAAACAGG